UCUAUUCACCUUCCGCAGCGUCCUGGUUAUUCUCGUUGAAGUUCUCAUAAGAGUCCCAGCGAAUGGGCGGAUCUUGCGUGUUGUAGUCCACCGAGACGCUGGGCCCGUUCUCCAGAUGCUGCAGAUCUUCUCCAGAGCCGGCGCGUGAUGGUCGGGCCAGCCAAAGUCCAACACCUGCCCAGAGAGGAGCAGCCGGCGCGGGUUAGGCCACGGAGGACGACCGACGGCCGCUUUCGCUCGCCUUUACCUUGGAAUGAAGCUCGCCGAUGUCAUAACGCUUCUCGCUGAGGUUGAAGAGCUAAGGAGGGGCGAAGGUGCUCGGACAUUUACGGUGGAAAUGAUUUAGCCCGUCCCGUCAAAAGCAUCUGCAAGGGCCACGCGAGAGCAGCCAGCCUGCCCCGCCUGCCA